CACCAUAGACAUUAAAAGAAAUAUGUGCAUGUCACAGACUGUCUGGGCAUGCACUUCCGCGUUUCAGAGAUCCGCCUUUUACUUUCCGUCAACAUUACAUUAAUUAACGUUUAGAAAAUUUAUUUUUGACAUUUGUGAAUCAGUUCAGAAUCGUCUGCUUAUGCAUUGCGAUACAUUUAAGAAUCACAUUUUUAUCCCACCCCUACUAAAUAUAGAGACACUUUGACAAGUGGGCACUGGAUGCUGAGUAUUGAAGGCGAGGUGGUGUGUGAGGGCACUCAGCCCAGUUUCCUGUCCGGCCUUGCCACUCUGUUUGCUGCUUAUUACUAGUUUAAUCUUGAGUAUCAGGAGGAAGCAGUGUGUACCUUGGAGUUCAUUCAAAGGUGCUUUGUGGGCAUAAAUCCAGAGAGAGGACCCAAAGCCAAGGGAAAAGUGCCAUCGAAAUAAAAGCAGGACAAGUGAUACAGAAGAAAAUGUGUGGCAGUCAACCCACAUGUUGCCACUCUUCUGUGCAAAUUCCAAUGGAAUUUCUGAAAUUCACACUUUGAAUCCUGGGAUGGAACUUCAUCUGGAGCAUAAUUGUUAUUUGGUUGAUUUUUAUCUGUUUGAUGGAAAGUUUGUAUGACUUCUGCAAGUGCGCGGCUCCUUCCGGUCAGUCAUGCAUCACUUUUUUUUGUAUGACUUGUUUGGCAAUAUUGGUCUAUUCCUUAAUGAUGAUAGCUAUCUGAAAAUGUCUUUGUGGUUUUUAAAGGAUUAGUUCACCCAAAAAUGAAAAUUAAGUCAAUAAUAACUUAUGUCGUUUCACACCCGUAAGAUCUUCGUUCAUCCUCACAACACAUAAUAAGAUGUGGCUCAGUGAAGCGUGCAUUUCUAGCAAGAUCAUUUCUUUUUUUCAAUGCCCAGAAAGCCUCUAAAACAUUUAAAACAAUUCAUGUGACUACAGUUGUUCAACCUAAAUAUUAUAAAGCGACGAGAAUACUUUUUUUGCCAACCCCCCCCCCCCCCCCCCCCCCCCC